ncrna:unclassified sequences pemK RNA
AUAAUGGUACACCUGCCCCGCGUAUGCGGGGCCAGCUCGGAGAGAUCCUCGGAGGGGUGAGAGUCCCGUGG